rnacentral:lncRNA from 1 species
AUAAAAGAAAAAGUGUACCUGUUGAUAUUUCUUACCAGUUUCCGGUCCAAAUUUUCCCAAAAACGGUUGUGGAGUUGAGGCCUGAGGUAUCAUAUUGGUGUUGUGUGCGGGCAUAUACACAUGUAGCCAUUAUAAAUAAAUAUUAUCUUGAAGCUCACAAGUUUUGGCAAAAAUUAGGGUGGCGGAGGAAGAGAGGGGAAGGGCCGCCAACAAGAGUAGCACAAUUGCCUACAGAAUUUAAUCCACUGAUGGAGAAGAAGACGUUCAUGUUGUCGUAAGGUGAACUGUCUAUGAUCUUUAUAAAGGUCCUAAAAAAAUGUAUGCGUGUUCAUACAGUAAGCCUAACCUAUGGCGUAAAUAGUUGACAUUUGGUAAAAGUUGACAAAAAAUACCAUUAGGCAUUGCAUGUAAAAUGAUAUUUGUUAAACAUAAAUAUACUGAAGAUAUAUGUUAAAACGUAUUACGUCAAUAGGACUAACCACAGGCGAAAAUAGAUGAAAUGGGUUGAAGUAUGACAUAUAAAAAUCGUAACAUCAUUUUAAAUUUAACCAAAUGUUAUUUUUUUAUACGAUCGAUCAUAACAUUUAAAAUGGUCCACCGAACAAAACAAAGUUUAUCAAUUUCACCACCAACUGGACCACAACAAUUGAACCAUCUUUAGAAUUUAUUAUUAUUUGCCGAAAGGUAUUUUCUUCAACAUGUGCAAUGAAUUUAAAUCAAUAAAUGACGCAAAUGCCCUUCAAAAUGUGUAUAAAUAAGUAAAUUAAAAGAUAAGGACAUGUGGUAAGACUAUGGUAUAAAAAGAACCAAUUGGUCCGAGUACACAGUUAUUUCGUAGUGCAUUUCUUUUAGACAAUAAAUGGAAAUCAAAAAAAUCCCACCUGCGCUUUCUCCAUAAUAUUUUUACAGUGUGUUGUACUACUUUUGGGACAAAUUAUAUCAAAAUUAUGGAAAACUUCAUCAGCUCUAACUCAAAAUAUGGACAAUUUUAUGUGAAGGGGGUCUUGAAAUCUUUUGACAGCUUCCGAAAUGCUAAUUUUUGACCUUUUUCAACUGGACCAAAUCACUACUUUACAUUAUAAUUCAUGAAUCAAAUUUUUUUUACAGUGUAGUUUUAUCCCCCUUCUUGCUACUUGAGGCAUAAAACAUAAAUAAAUAAAUUUGGAAGG